GUGGGGAAUAUUGGGCAAUGGGCGAAAGCCUGACCCAGCAACGCCGCGUGAAGGAAGAAGGUCUUCGGAUCGUAAACUUCUAUCCUUGGUGAAGAUAAUGACGGUAGCCGAGAAGGAAGCCCCGGCUAACUACGUGCCAGCAGCCGCGGUAAUACGUAGGGGGCAAGCGUUGUCCGGAAUGAGUGGGCGUAAAGGGCGCGUAGGCGGCCUGGUAAGUCUGGAGUGAAAGUCCUGCUUUUAAGGUGGGAAUUGCUUUGGAUACUGUCGGGCUUGAGUGCAGGAGAGGUAAGUGGAAUUCCCGGUGUAGCGGUGAAAUGCGUAGAGAUCGGGAGGAACACCAGUGGCGAAGGCGACUUACUGGACUGUAACUGACGCUGAGGUGCGAAAGCGUGGGGAGCGAACAGGAUUAGAAACCCUUGUAGUCC
rnacentral:rRNA from 1 species